rnacentral:tRNA from 1 species
AAUUGAGAAGCGAAUGUUGCAUUUAGUUUCGGCCUAAACUUUGGUGAUUUUACUUCACCCUUAAUUA